rnacentral:lncRNA from 1 species
AAACAUGUUGAUAUGAUCAACAUGUAGUUCAUGCUAUAUUUAUAUAUUUUAAUUUCUGAUUUAAUGCUAUGUAAUAAUCAUGUAAUAGAAUCUUAGAUCUAAGAAUUCUCUGAUUUUAGAAAAUAAAUUUUAAUUUAUUUUAGUCUUCCGCUGUAUGAUCUUGAAAAAGUUUCAAGAUCUAACCCUGAAACCCCAGAUCUGGUUCCUACAAUUGGUAUCAGAGCCUAGGUUCUUUAUUACAUGAUUAUUUAUACAUGCUUAAAUUAUUUCAUAGAUUAGAUCUAAUUUAUAAUCUAAUUAUUAAAUUUGAAAUUAAAAUUUUAGAUCAAUCAUGAACUGCAAGGUUGUCCUGCUGUAAGGUUUACCCCUUACAGUGCAAAGGUUGUCCUAGUUUGUGUAGAUCUAUCUUUAAUCAUAAAUUUGUUAGAUAUGAUCUAGAUUAAAUUUAUGAUUUAUUAGAUUUAAAAAAUAUUUAAAUCUGAAAUAAAAUUUCUUUGUUAA